rnacentral:tRNA from 2 species
GAAGGUGUAGCUCAGUGGUAGAGUGUACACUUAGCAUGUGCAAAACCCUCUGGGUUCGAUCCCCAGCAUAUAUU